CUACUAACCUCAGGGUCAGUGGUUCAAGCAAACCCAACAGCUCCGUAGACGCUUUCUAUGAAGACCGCGCCAAGAUGACCCUAUGGGGGAGUUGUGCUCUGUAACAUGUGCCAUCACCUCGACUCAGAGUUCACGCUGUAGCACUCUGUGGUCAAAGCACUUAUAUGGAGACAAAGAGGGUCCAGACUUCAACCCAGUGUUGCGAGAUGUAAAUGCAGCUAAUGUUUCCUGGAUGCUUCUUACCCUGAAGCAUUGUCACUCGGAUGAUGCAGUCUGACUUUCAGCCAAAGAAUUCAAGAAUUGCAAAUCUCUAAAUUCAUCUACUCUUCGUUUAUUUUGUUACCAACAUUGUUCAUUUAUGACAACAGUAAAAAAAUACUGAUUGUUUUGUGUAUUAAUAACAUACAUCUGACAGCAAUGACUGUUGAGGUUCGAAGUGAGAGUGGGCUGGCUAUGAUGGUUAAGGUUGUGUUCAUUUGACUAGACAUUGUUCUCAGUGGUUUGGCAGUUAUAUAAUUAUGCAACUUGCCAGUUAUGUAGUAAUGUAAUUAUUCUCUAUUUUGUAAUGUGAUGUGGUCAUCCUCUAUUUUGCAUAAUUUCAAUUUUUGUAUAAUGACCUGAUCUUUGAAACUCAACCAAACUCAGUAGGCAAAGGAUGGGUAUAAAGUUUUCAAGUUCUACAAAUUAACUUUAAGAGAGAUAUUUUUUCAACAGUGAUUAAGUUGUGUGAAUCAAUGUUUCCUUUUUUCUCACAAACCACUAAUGAUUGGUCAUUUUGUCAUGUCACAGAUGAAACCAUUUUAAUUGUUGUGGCAUUUAUACAUGUAUAGCUGUUUCCUGUUGGAUGGAUCCUAUUAAUAUUAUAAUAAUUAAUUUAUAAUAAAUAUGCCUGUGAA